rnacentral:lncRNA from 1 species
CCAAGAUUAUCUUUGAUAGCUUCCAUGAUGAAGUCCUUCAAUUUUUCAACGGGAAUCAGACCUUCAGCAGAGACUUGGAUCUCCUUCGUUGUUGUUGCUUGCUUUUCGGGAGUUUUCUUUCUCUUGCGACCUUUUAAAAUUUAAAGGUGCUUCUAUGGAUUCUCCUUCUACUAUGAUAUCCAACUUAUUUGUUAACUUUAAAAGUUUAGCAUCUUGAUGUUGCACUCGCUCCGACAAGCCUCAACAGCUUUCAUCAAAUUUUUAAGUUGUUCUUCUAUAGUAGAAGCUUCAAUAACCAUUUCUUGAUUGAUCACUGUAGAUGAUGAAGAAUAUCUAUUGGACUACUACUACUCCCUUCGAGUCUCCUCGAUAUGCUGGUUGAAGAAGAAGAAGUAGUAUGAGGCUGGGGAGAGGGACAAGAAGGGGAUCCAAUUUGGUGAAAAAGUAGCUGUUGAUGACGAAGAAAAGAUGUUUGGGGGAGGGGGAGGCCGGUCUGAUUUGGUUUUUGCUUUUUUAUUAGUGUUAUCUUUUUUAAAGAAAAUUAACUAUAGGUAAAAAAUUCAAAAAUUACAUGUGUUAUUUUUUUUUGUUAAUUUAUCACAUCGGCGAGUGUAAUUUACCCACAAGAUCUGUGCGGCAUAAGUGUGCAUAAGACACACUGCAAACAAUUUGAGGUGCUAGGUAAAUGGAUUUGUUGGGGUGUCUAUUUGGUCAUAACUCAG